rnacentral:rRNA from 1 species
GAUGAACGCUGGCGGCGUGCCUAAUACAUGCAAGUAGAACGCUGAAGGAGGAGCUUGCUCUUCUGGAUGAGUUGCGAACGGGUGAGUAACGCGUAGGUAACCUGCCUGGUAGCGGGGGAUAACUAUUGGAAACGAUAGCUAAUACCGCAUGACAACAGUUAUUGCAUGAUAACUGUUUAAAAGGGGCAACUGCUCCACUACCAGAUGGACCUGCGUUGUAUUAGCUAGUUGGUGAGGUAACGGCUCACCAAGGCGACGAUACAUAGCCGACCUGAGAGGGUGAUCGGCCACACUGGGACUGGGACACGGCCCAGACUCCUACGGGAGGCAGCAGUAGGGAAUCUGCGGCAAUGGACGGAAGUCUGACCGAGCAACGCCGCGUGAGUGAAGAAGGUGUUCGGAUCGUAAAGCUCUGUUGUAAGAGAAGAACGAGUGUGAGAGUGGAAAGUUCACACUGUGACGGUAUCUUACCAGAAAGGGACGGCUAACUACGUG